rnacentral:rRNA from 1 species
UACAGAGGGUGCUAGCGUUGUUCGGAAUCAUUGGGCGUAAAGGGCGUGUAGGCGGUUUGUUAAGUCAUGUGUGAAAUCCCUCGGCUCAACCGGGGAACGACGCAUGAAACUGGCAAGCUAGAGUACCAAAGAGGGGGGUGGAAUUCCCGGUGUAGCGGUGAAAUGCGUAGAUAUCGGGAGGGACACCUGUGGCGAAGGCGGCCCCCUGGUUGGAUACUGACGCUGAUACGCGAAAGCGUGGGGAGCAAACAGG